rfam:Nicotiana sylvestris Nsyl_contig93381, whole genome shotgun sequence.
GGGAUUAUAGUUCAAUCGGUCAGAGCACCACCAUGUCAAGGCGGAAGCUGCGGGUUCAAGUCUUAUCAGUCCCG